rnacentral:tRNA from 1 species
CUAUGGAGCAAAUUCACUGGAGCGCCAUCUCACCGGCACUCACUUAAGGUGAAUAGGUCGAAGUCCUCCUCCCGGAUUAACCGGGAAAGGACUGGUGAAUCAGAAAUGAUCGCCCCUUAAAUAUUAUUGGUGCGUUCGCCGAUCGUGCAGCACACCAUUUUGCCUUUACCUUUUCGAUGACCGAAAGAGAACGCGUGUUCGAUCUCCGGGGGCAUAGCUCAGUUGGUAGAGCGCCUGCUUUGCAAGCAGGAUGCCAGGAGUUCGAAUCUCCUUGCCUCCACUCUCUCAGAGUGUGGAGGCUGGUGCGCGACGGUGGAUGAUUUCGGGUCUGUAGCUCAGUUGGUUAGAGCACACGCUUGAUAGGCGUGGGGUCACAGGUUCAAAUCCUGUCAGACCCACUGCCACUGAGCCCGGUCCCUUCUGAAGCCGUUUCUGGAUCUUUGACAACUGUAUAAAAGAAAACAAUGACUACAAUUUGACUGAACUAAGUUCAGUUUUGGUAGAGAAGACAGUGGGGGGAAUUAAGCAAAACCCUCCGAAAGCUUUCAUAAACGAUAGCUG